GGAGGACUUCCCUCUCUUUUUUUCGUUUUCUGUUGAAUCCUUCUCCCUCUUUUGUCCCAAGCCCUUUCCCAAUUCCACCAUAUGCUUCAACCAAAGCACCGAAGUAUGAGUGUCUGGCCUUCCCUCGACCAAAAAUUAGGGCUUGAAAUGGUAAGCUUCUUCUCCUCUUGUUUCAAGGUUAGGAUUUAAUUUAAUUUUCAUGUAAAUUUAUAAAAAAUUUGUUAGAUUUGCUACACUUUGGGUACCAAUGGAUCCUUAUACUUCCGCAUUCCAAUGAUUUGUCACUGGCGGAAUAACUUCAUGACUUACUGUCAAAUUUGAAAAAUUUCCAGUUAAAAUAGAAAAUACAAUUACCAGAAUAUAUUAGGUUUAUCUUGGUUGAGCGUUCCCAACUACAUACCUCUUGACAUGUUUCUUCCUAAACUUUUUCAAGCACUUCGACGAUUAAAUUUCUGAAGUUGAAAAGCUUUUUAAUUUGGAAUUUGUCUAUUAUACUAUACUUUGUUUUCUCUAAGUUGUAAUUAUUUAUCUAGGGACAUGUAUGUAUCUAAUUUAUAGGUGUUGUAUGUUUUAGCAAAUCUCAGCUUAACAGAAUUUUAUUGUUAUAGCGCUAGAAUGAAAAGCCUUUCAUUCCUUGUUUAUGUGAUUUACUUUGCAUUGUUGAAGUUUUCUUCUUACUUAUUCGUUAAAUUUUUUCUUUUUCAUCGAACAUAUUAACAAUUUGUUAAAUCUUAUGUGCAGGGGCGAGGGCCUAAUAUUGAGGUUAGAUUCUUAAUAUAACUUCAAUUGAAUGACCUUUUAUGUUUAGAGUUUUUGUGUGUUUGUCCUAUAAGCUCGUUGCAGAUAAAUAUCCUUUUUAGUAAUCCUGUAUGACUUGGGAUAUGUUUAAGACAGUAAUAAUUUUAUAUAACACGAAAACUCUGGCCUAGGCAUCUUUUGCUUCUCUUUUGGAUUGACAGCUUAAUAUCAGCUAUGCCAUAUACUAUUUUGUUCUUUUCUAGGGAGAUGCGGUGGGUGGAGUGGGGUGAAGAAUAGUUAAGCUUAACUAGCAUUUUAUGGUAGAGGGGCCAAAGUCGAUUUUUUUCAACAAAUGCAUCAAAGAAGUACCAUGGCUAUUCUAGAAACUAGAACACAUGUGCUGCCACUGAAAUUUUAUAUGCACUCAUUUGGGAUCCUGGACUUCACUGUGUUAAUUCUAGAGGCUAUUUCUUUUUGGUAUUCACUAAGUAGAAAGAGAUGGUUUGGGAACACUUUUGAACUGUGCACCUAUCUCCGUUUUCCCUUAUAAUUGAAGUUGGAUGCAUAUUAAAAUGAUGGGACAUACUGAUGUUCAGAAUAAGUUAUGGUUUAUUCUUAGUGAGGAGCUAAACUGGUAAAAUUAACUAUUAGAUAUAUGUGCUAAUAUGAACUUUCUACAUUUGAAAUUUUCACUUGAAUAAGUGGACUUAAUAUUUCCUAACUGGCUAUUGAUACAUUUUUCUAAUGAAGAGGUGAUUUUCUUUACUAUAAUUGCCUUCUCUCCGCUUAAUCUUUUUUUGUAUAAAUAAUAUUUAGCAUAUUUUCAUCUUAAACUCUUAAAUGAUAUUCACUAAUCCCUUUAUCUUAAGAAUGGCGCCUACAUAUAGUAUUAUUCUGUUGAAAAGUCUCAGAGUAGCUUGUAUAUAUAUGGUAGCUCUUUCCAUAUGCAUCACUAGUACAUGUAUUCUUAUGUUGAGAUUAAUUUUUUUUGUCAUUAACAAAUAAGGAGAUUGUAUAUUUACUUUAAUUAGAGAUGAGAAAAUGUAAAAUGGUUAUAAAAUCUUUUUAUACUAGAAUAUUUUAAUGGUGAACUCUUAAUUACUCCACAGAGGGACAUGCAAGGGUAUCAACAUUCUGUAGUAGUACUACAUUUGAACUUUAAUUUUUCCUUACUCUACCAUGCAUCUUGUUCAACAAAUCUAUUGUUGCAUCCCAGUGAGACUGUUAGAUUGUUAACUCAUCUCCUUUGUAUUCCCCUACUGUUGUUAACGUUAUCCUACUUUUCCGUAGUUCCUUAAAUUGCUGAUCAAAGCAGCAUCUAGAAUUCAAUUGGAUGCAGCAUUAUGCUAAUGAGGAGCUAUUUUCUCUAACUUCAAUCAAGGUAUGUUCUCAC
rnacentral:lncRNA from 1 species